UACAGAGGUGGCAAGCGUUGUUCGGAAUUACUGGGCGUAAAGGGCGCGUAGGCGGUCCGAUAAGUCCCGAGUGAAAUCCCUCGGCUCAACUGAGGAAUGGCACGGGAAACUGCCGGGCUUGAGUUCGGGAGAGGGAAGCGGAAUUCCGGGUGUAGCGGUGAAAUGCGUAGAUAUCCGGAGGAACACCGGUGGCGAAGGCGGCUUCCUGGACCGACACUGACGCUGAGGCGCGAAAGCUAGGGGAGCAAACGGG
rnacentral:rRNA from 1 species